AUUGAACGCUGGCGGCAUGCCUUACACAUGCAAGUCGAACGGUAACGGGCCUUCGGGUGCCGACGAGUGGCGAACGGGUGAGUAAUGUAUCGGAACGUACCUUUCAGUGGGGGAUAACGUAGCGAAAGUUACGCUAAUACCGCAUAUUCUGUGCGCAGGAAAGCAGGGGAUCGCAAGACCUUGCGCUGAUUGAGCGGCCGAUAUCAGAUUAGCUAGUUGGUGAGGUAAAGGCUCACCAAGGCGACGAUCUGUAGCGGGUCUGAGAGGAUGAUCCGCCACACUGGAACUGAGACAUGGUCCAGACUCCUACGGGAGGCAGCAGUGGGGAAUUUUGGACAAUGGGGGCAACCCUGAUCCAGCCAUGCCGCGUGAGUGAAGAAGGCCUUCGGGUUGUAAAGCUCUUUCGGCCGGGAAGAAAUCGCACGGGCUAAUACCCUGUGUGGAUGACGGUACCGGAAUAAGAAGCACCGGCUAACUACGUGCCAGCCGCCGCCGUAAAAC
rnacentral:rRNA from 1 species